rnacentral:rRNA from 1 species
CCUACGGGGUGCAGCAGUGGGGAAUAUUGCACAAUGGGCGCAAGCCUGAUGCAGCCAUGCCGCGUGUAUGAAGAAGGCCUUCGGGUUGUAAAGUACUUUCAGCGGGGAGGAAGGUGUUAUGGUUAAUAACCGCAGCAAUUGACGUUACCCGCAGAAGAAGCACCGGCUAACUCCGUGCCGGCAGCCGCGGUAAUACGGAGGGUGCAAGCGUUAAUCGGAAUUACUGGGCGUAAAGCGCACGCAGGCGGUCUGUCAAGUCGGAUGUGAAAUCCCCGGGCUCAACCUGGGAACUGCAUUCGAAACUGGCAGGCUAGAGUCUUGUAGAGGGGGGUAGAAUUCCAGGUGUAGCGGUGAAAUGCGUAGAGAUCUGGAGGAAUACCGGUGGCGAAGGCGGCCCCCUGGACAAGGGCUGACGCUCAGGUGCGAAAGCGUGGGGAGCAAACAGGAUUAGAUACCCCAGUAGUC